UGCAGACAGACAGGCUGUUAGUUAGAGAGAUGCAGACAGACAGUCUGUUAGAGGGAUGCAGACAGACAGGCUGUUAGAGGGAUGCAGACAGACAGGCUGUUAGAGGGAUGCAGACAGACAGGCUGUUAGAGGGAUGCAGACAGACAGGCUGUUAGAGAGAUGCAGACAGACAGGCUGUUAGAGGGAUGCAGACAGACAGGCUGUUAGAGGGAUGCAGACAGACAGGCUGUUAGAGGGAUGCAGACAGACAGGCUGUUAGAGGGAUGCAGACAGACAGGCUGUUAGUUAGAGGGAUGCAGACAGACAGGCUGUUAGAGGGAUGCAGACAGACAGGCUGUUAGAGAGAUGCAGACAGACAGGCUGUUAGUUAGAGGGAUGCAGACAGACAGGCUGUUAGAGGGAUGCAGACAGACAGGCUGUUAGAGGGAUGCAGACAGACAGGCUGUUAGAGG
rnacentral:lncRNA from 1 species